CCUAACCUCAGGUGAUUCUCCAGCCUUGGCCUCCCAAUGUGCCGGGAUUACAGGCGUGAGCCACGUCGCCCGGCCCUUUGUUUCCCCUUUUAGGCUCCAGGGCAAUGCAAUGUUAAGCCCAGGCUCAGUCUGCUCUAUUGUGUGUGCACGCCAUGGCACCCACUGUGCCCUCACUUGGAUGACCCUCCUUUGUCCCACAGGUAAUUCCUACUGAGCCUUCAAGACCUGGCUGGGCAGUCACCUCCCUCCCCUGACACCAUCGUCUCCCCUGCCUGGGUUGUGGACCCUCCUCUGAGCUUCCGUAUAAAUCAGUACUUCUUAUAAACUGGGUUUCCUGAGAAGGAACUCCUCUGCGCAGUGGGAUAAAUGGAUGUGACCUCUGCUAACCUGGGCCCAGUACAAGCUCUGUAAACCAGGCAGCCAACUGCACCUACCUGCCCGAGGGCACCAGAUGUCAGCAAGAUGAACACUAAAGAUGUCCAGGCAAUGCCAACCCCCGGACCUGAUGGGCAUGUUUACCAGCUGGCAAACGGCGUGGGUGGUGGUUGGUUCCAAGGCACUCCAAAUCCCUGUGCGUCCUGAUCCUGCCCCAGUAAGGAAGCAGCAGGGACUGACUGCUUGACAAGAGGAUCCCGCUCCUCGCAGAACAGAAAUGCUUUCAUUAAAAAAGGGAGGUAUCCCUGCAGUUGGCCUCUCCCAACAGAUUUGUCAAAAGCAGAGGUUUUGCUCUUCCCCUCUGACUCUUAUAAAAGGCCCCAUUUUCUGACUACAUUUCCUGAUAUUCUGUCUUUAAAUCUUCAAGGCAGGUCACCUGCUACAGAAAGCACAAGGGAUCUAGGAUAGAUAAGUCAAAAACCAAAUACAGUAAAAUGUUAAUUGUUGAUUCUAGCUGUGAGAUGUAUGGCUUUUCACUGUACAAGUCUUUCAACUUUUUUUGGUAGAUGUUUGAAAUUUUUCAUAAUAAAAUGCUGGGAAAAAA
rnacentral:lncRNA from 1 species